UUUGCCCCACCUACUCCCCAAGCCGUUUAUUAGUCCCCUUCCGCAAAUGGCUCCGUGGCCGCGUUCCCAAACUGUCCCAGCCAGUGUACACUCUUCGGAUUAGGGUUGCAGAACAGUAGCACGUGAAUAAUUCGUCCCCAGCAGAGCCACCGUAGCUUGCUUCUAGGCGCGUGCGCGGCCUGUGCGGCGAGUACGCGGCAAGUGGUAGCGCCCCCGCGCCGGGGUCCCGAGAUGCCCCACAUAUCACCAAUGGCCACCACUUCUGCGUCUCCCCUUUAGGAGAGUGUGCUUGGGAGCUGAAGGAUUCCAAGCCAAGCCCACAGAUUGCUCUCUGUCUCACCCAGAGGGCGAGCCCAGCACUCAGGAUGGUCUCGUGUUAUGUGGUGCAUCAGCCUGUCGCUGUCCUGACUCCCAUCUCCAGUCACCUAGCGUCCUUACUCCUUGAAACUCCAGGUUUAUUUAUUUAGAGACAGAGAGAGCGCACCAGCAGGGGAGAGGCAG